UACGUAGGGUGCGAGCGUUGUCCGGAAUUACUGGGCGUAAAGAGCUCGUAGGCGGUUUGUCGCGUCGUCUGUGAAAUUCUGCAACUCAAUUGUAGGCGUGCGGGCGAUACGGGCAUCACUGGAGUUCGGCAGGGGAGACUGGAAUUCCUGGUGUAGCGGUGGAAUGCGCAGAUAUCAGGAGGAACACCGAUGGCGAAGGCAGGUCUCUGGGCAGUAACUGACGCUGAGGAGCGAAAGCGUGGGGAGCGAACAGG
rnacentral:rRNA from 1 species